AUUCUCCAAGUUCCCAAAAUUGAGAACCUCUAAGUUUCCACACCAAGGAUGGAUUGAUGAAGAAAUUAGUGACCUAGAGGAAGCAAGAUUGCUAGUUAAUUUCCUCUAGGGUGGCCGGCCUCUUUAGAGAGAAAAGAGAGCUUUGUGUUCUCAUCUUUUCUCCAAAAGAAACCCUAAAUGAAUUUUGGCUAUAAAGUCACAUUUAUACCUUAAUUCAUUGGAGUGGCAAACUUGUAAAUAAGUCCAAAACCCACUCCAUCUCUAAAUGGCCGGCCAUUGGGUUUCAUUGGGCUUUUAGGGCCUUUGUGAAUUAUUAGUCAUUAAGUUGUCAUACAACUUAAGUCAAUGGGCUUGACGUUCGAAGCCCAUUG
rnacentral:lncRNA from 1 species